rnacentral:sRNA from 1 species
CUGGGCUCCGGACAUCUGCUGUCAGUGCAGGUGGCUACCUGUCCUUGAGCUGUCCCCAAUGCUUCUCAGCUUUGCUAGGAGCUGAGUGCUCUCUUGUCUGUGACAGUGACCUGAUUUAAGCGUGGGGUGGCCCCCUGCACUAUAGACAAGACAAGACAUUUCAAAGAAAGUAUUAAAUUCAUUCAUGAGUGCCGGCUCCGCGGUGAGAGCUGCCUUGUACACUGCCUGGCCGGGGUCUCCAGGAGCGUGACACUGGUGAUCGCAUACAUCAUGACCGUCACUGACUUUGGCUGGGAGGAUGCCCUGCACACCGUGCGUGCUGGGAGAUCCUGUGCCAACCCCAACGUGGGCUUCCAGAGACAGCUCCAGGAGUUUGAGAAGCAUGAGGUCCAUCAGUAUCGGCAGUGGCUGAAGGAAGAAUAUGGAGAGAGCCCUUUGCAGGAUGCAGAAGAAGCCAAAAACAUUCUGGGUAAAUAUAAGGAGCAAGGGCGCACGGAGCCCCAGCCCGGCGCCAGGCGGUGGAGCAGUUUUCCAGC